UACGGAGGGAGCUAGCGUUGUUCGGAAUUACUGGGCGUAAAGCGCACGUAGGCGGCUUUGUAAGUUAGAGGUGAAAGCCCGGGGCUCAACCCCGGAAUUGCCUUUAAGACUGCAUCGCUUGAAUCCAGGAGAGGUGAGUGGAAUUCCGAGUGUAGAGGUGAAAUUCGUAGAUAUUCAGAAGAACACCAGUGGCGAAGGCGGCUCACUGGACUGGUAUUGACGCUGAGGUGCGAAAGCGUGGGGAGCAAACAGG
rnacentral:rRNA from 1 species